rnacentral:rRNA from 1 species
AGAGUUUGAUCCUGGCUCAGAUUGAACGCUAGCGGGAUGCCUUACACAUGCAAGUCGAACGGCAGCACGGACUUCGGUCUGGUGGCGAGUGGCGAACGGGUGAGUAAUGUAUCGGAACGUGCCCAGUAGCGGGGGAUAACUACGCGAAAGCGUAGCUAAUACCGCAUACGCCCUACAGGGGGAAAGCAGGGGAUCGCAAGACCUUGCACUAUUGGAGCGGCCGAUAUCGGAUUAGCUAGUGGUGGGGUAACGGCUCACCAAGGCGACGAUCCGUAGCUGGUUAUGAGAGGACGACCAGCUCACACUGGGACUGAGACACGGCCCAGACUCCUACGGGAGGCAGCAGUGGGGAAUUUUGGACUAUGGGGGAAACCCUGAUCCAGCCAUCCCGCGUGUGCGAUGAAGGCCUUCGGGUUGUAAGAGCACUUCUUGGCAGGAAAGAAACGUCAUGGGUUAAUACCCCGUGAAACUGACGGUACCUGCAGACAUAAGCACCGGCUAACUACGUGCCAGCAGCCGCGGUAAUACGUAGGGUGCAAGCGUUAAUCGGAAUUACUGUGCGUAAAGCGUGCGCGCUGUUCGGAGAAGAUGUGAUAUACAGAGCUGACUCGGACUGCAUCUUAACUAGGCUAGAGUGUGUAGAUGGUGAAUCGCGUGCAGAUGCUCAUUGCGGAGACCCGAUGGCGACGGCAGCUCUGGAUCCC